CCGACCUUAGCUCAGUUGGUAGAGCGGAGGACUGUAGUUGGUAAUCUCCCAAAUAGUCAUCCUUAGGUCGCUGGUUCGAAUCCGGCAGGUCGGA
rfam:Phaseolus vulgaris cultivar G19833 chromosome 8, whole genome shotgun sequence.